GACAGAGGGUGCAAACGUUGCUCGGAAUCACUGGGCGUAAAGGGCGUGUAGGCGGGAAGGAAAGUCAGAUGUGAAAUCCCUGGGCUCAACCCAGGAACUGCAUUUGAAACUUCCUCUCUUGAGUGUCGGAGAGGAAAGUGGAAUUCCUGGUGUAGAGGUGAAAUUCGUAGAUAUCAGGAGGAACACCGGUGGCGAAGGCGGCUUUCUGGACGACAACUGACGCUGAGACGCGAAAGCGUGGGGAGCAAACAGG
rnacentral:rRNA from 1 species